GACGAACGCUGGCGGCGCGCUUAACACAUGCAAGUCGAGCGAGAACCAGAGCUCCGGCCCUGGGGAAAGCGGCGAACGGGUGAGUAACACGUGAGUAACCUGUCCUCGGCACCGGGAUAGCCCGGGGAAACCCGGAUUAAUACCGGAUGGCCUUUCGAGUCUUCGGGCUCGUCAGAAAAGGUAGCUUCGGCCUCCGGCCGAGGAGGGACUCGCGGCGGAUUAGCUUGUUGGUGAGGUAACGGCUCACCAAGGCGACGAUCCGUAGCUGGUCUGAGAGGACGAUCAGCCACACUGGGACUGAGACACGGCCCAGACUCCUACGGGAGGCAGCAGUGGGGAAUCUUGCGCAAUGGGCGAAAGCCUGACGCAGCGACGCCGCGUGCGGGAAGAAGGCC
rnacentral:rRNA from 1 species